rnacentral:ribozyme from 1 species
AAAUGAGCAAGAAAGGAUGGAUGAAUCAGACAGGCAGCUGAAGAAGCUCCAGCAAAAACUGAGGUAUGUGGCUCAUUUGAGAAGGCAACCUGCCGAAAGAUAUUUUGCUUUCUCUUGUGUCUUCUCUUCUGCCCUUGUUGUAUUUGGAAGAUAUUCUUCCUCUGUGAUCCUCCCCUUUCUUUUG